GGCCAUUGUCACCUCCAGCCACGGCUUCCUGGCUGUAGCCAUGCCCGACUGUCCUCUCACAAGGUCUUCUGAGGGAUGUGGCCCUUGGGCUCACCAGGCUGGAAAAAACACUCCAUAGGCACAGCCGUGGGCUACAUCGAACAUCUGUGCCAUCCCACUGUGAGCAUGGAGCAGUACACAGCCAAUAAAAAUGAAUCUCUUAAGGCGCAUCCCCAAAGUUGUAUAACCUCCAGAUCCCACAAAGCCUGGAGCCACCCCUGGGGUUGCCGUUUAUGAGAGGGGACAUUAGGGAGAGUUUGCGGAGAAGAAAGGGAGCUAGACUGACUUUCUUGAUGUUUCUGGCUUAACGCCCAGGAGAAUUCAGGCAAAGCUGUCCAUUCGGUUGGUAACGACACAAGCAGGAGAAUAGGACGGAAAUCCAAUUCUUCUGCUCCCCGGGGUGUGACUCUCAUACUGCAUCGCACAGCUUUCAUUUCGUGAAGAACUUGUGGAAGCAGAUGUUCACAAAGCAACUGACCAGGCCAGGUGUGUCCUUCAAGGCUACCUGCAUUCAACAGAGGCGACCACAGCCCAGACCCAUCCUUCUUGGGAGAGUUUCAAGAUGCUCCACAUAGUGGUGCCUAGCGCUCUGUGCACUCAGAGGCUAGAAGAAAAGAUACAGAGGUCCUCUUUCAAGGAGAGGCCCUGACGUUUCUAUUCUUACAAGGAUUCUUUGGUAAUAAAUACAGUGAAAACACCGUCACCGUGGAGAUAAUACUUAAUGCUCAAGAGGUACGUAGCAGAGAUUGCAUUCCAAUCAAGGACUUCCGUAACCCUGUCUACCAAGCCAGUAUCACCUGUAGGCCAGUUCACCUCCAUCCAGUCACUUUACAGCACUUGAGUGUUUGCUGUCCGCUCAAUUAAAAUCCUACUCUGGUGGGAAAAACCAGAUUUCCAAAUGGGGACUUUAUUGAUUCAAUAAAAUUUAAGAAAUUCUGCUUAUGGAAAAACUCAUUAACCCAAACUAAUAAAUACGAGUUUACCCU
rnacentral:lncRNA from 1 species